GCCAUUAUGUUAUUUUGUAAUGAAAACAAACAAACACGACUACAACAACAACCAGGAGUGUUUUUUUUUUUUUUUUGGUUGUUGUUUUUUUUGUUAUUUUGGAGAGGAAAGAGUUUAUUUCAUCUUAUAUCUUACAGUACAUUAUGAGUGGUAGUUAGGACAGGAAAUCAAACAUGAACUUGGAGGCAGGCACUGAAGAAGAGGUCAUGAAGGAAUAGAAUUACUAUCCUGUGCAGACUGACUUCUUAUUCCAGCUGUUCAGGGAUGGCACUGGCAAUAGUAAAUCAUCAGUCAAGAAAAAUACUCAAUGAUCUUUUGCAUAUUAGACAAUUUGAUGGAGACAUUUUUUCAAAUGAAGUUUCCUUUUUUUGGUUUGACUCCUGUUAGACUAUAUUUG
rnacentral:lncRNA from 1 species